rnacentral:rRNA from 1 species
GAUGAACGCUGGCGGCGUGCCUAAUACAUGCAAGUCGAGCGAACAGACGAGGAGCUUGCUCCUCUGACGUUAGCGGCGGACGGGUGAGUAACACGUGGAUAACCUACCUAUAAGACUGGGAUAACUUCGGGAAACCGGCGCUAAUACCGGAUAAUAUAUUGAACCGCAUGGUUCAAUAGUGAAAGACGGUUUUGCUGUCACUUAUAGAUGGAUCCGCGCCGCAUUAGCUAGUUGGUAAGGUAACGGCUUACCAAGGCAACGAUGCGUAGCCGACCUGAGAGGGUGAUCGGCCACACUGGAACUGAGACACGGUCCAGACGCCUUCGGGAGGCAGCAGUAGGGAAUCUUCCGCAAUGGGCGAAAGCCUGACGGAGCAACGCCGCGGGAGUGAUGAAGGUCUUCGGAUCGUAAAACUCUGUUAUUAGGGAAGAACAAAUGUGUAAGUAACUAUGCACGUCUUGACGGUACCUAAUCAGAAAGCCACGUCUAACUACGUG